rnacentral:rRNA from 1 species
CCUACGGGAGGCAGCAGUGGGGAAUAUUGCACAAUGGGGGAAACCCUGAUGCAGCGACGCCGCGUGAGCGAUGAAGUAUUUCGGUAUGUAAAGCUCUAUCAGCAGGGAAGAAAAUGACGGUACCUGACUAAGAAGCCCCGGCUAACUACGUGCCAGCAGCCGCGGUAAUACGUAGGGGGCAAGCGUUAUCCGGAUUUACUGGGUGUAAAGGGAGCGUAGACGGCAGUGCAAGCCAGAAGUGAAAGGCCGGGGCUCAACCCCGGGACUGCAUUUGAAACUGUGAGGCUGGAGUGUCGGAGAGGUAGGCGGAAUUCCUGGUGUAGCGGUGAAAUGCGUAGAUAUUAGGAGGAACACCAGCGGCGAAGGCGGCCUACUGGACGAUGACUGACGUUGAGGCUCGAAGGCGUGGGGAGCAAACAGGAUUAGAUACCCGAGUAGUC